rnacentral:rRNA from 1 species
UACGUAGGGCGCGAGCGUUGUCCGGAAUUAUUGGGCGUAAAGAGCUCGUAGGCGGUUUGUCGCGUCGGUUGUGAAAACCCAAGGCUCAACCUUGGGCCUGCAAUCGAUACGGGCAGACUAGAGUACUGCAGGGGAGACUGGAAUUCCUGGUGUAGCGGUGGAAUGCGCAGAUAUCAGGAGGAACACCGGUGGCGAAGGCGGGUCUCUGGGCCACUACUGACGCUGAGAAGUGAAAGCGUGGGGAGCGAACAGG